rnacentral:rRNA from 1 species
CCUACGGGUGGCAGCAGUGAGGAAUAUUGGUCAAUGGGCGCGAGCCUGAACCAGCCAAGUAGCGUGAAGGAUGACUGCCCUACGGGUUGUAAACUUCUUUUAUAAAGGAAUAAAGUGAGGCACGUGUGCCUGUUUGUAUGUACUUUAUGAAUAAGGAUCGGCUAACUCCGUGCCAGCAGCCGCGGUAAUACGGAGGAUCCGAGCGUUAUCCGGAUUUAUUGGGUUUAAAGGGAGCGUAGGGGGGUUGUGAAGUCAGUUGUGAAAGUUUGCGGCUCAACCGUAAAAUUGCAUUUGAUACUGGCAGUCUUGCGUUCAGUUGCGGUCGGCGGAAUUCGUGUUGUCGCGGU